rfam:Schistosoma mansoni strain Puerto Rico chromosome 4, complete genome
AUUUAGAUAACUAGUCCCAAAUAGGACGAAACGCGCGUCCUGGAU